CAGAUUUGGUUGGGACAUUUUCUUGAGGUUCAAGGAUGAUUUCUUUCCAUCCAAGAAACCCUAAUUUAUUCUCUGUUGGAUUCUUUACCAUUUACGUUCACCUAGAGAUCAAGGUUAAAUCCGUAACUUACACAAGCUAUGAUCUUGUUCUGUACGCAUUCUCAUCACUUACUGUAACGCGUAGGUUUGUGCAAGUGUACACAGUCGUUAUCAAGUAAUAAGUAAGUAUCGAGUUAUCGUCUCCACAGGGAUUGUAUUUGUGCUAAGUCACUUAAUUUGUAAAAUUAUAUUAACAAUUUGGUAAACAAAAACACAAUAUAUUUGAAAACUAGUGAUUAAAAUAUAUUCAACUAAA